rnacentral:tRNA from 1 species
GCGGAUGUGGUACAAUGGCAGCAUUCCGGCUUCCCAAGCCGGCGACGCGGGUUCGAUUCCCGUCAUCCGCUCCA